ACAUUCAAUAUACCAAAUAGAUCUUGCGGCAAAGGAUACUGGAGUUUCUGCUUCCUCUAACUCGUCCUCACGGGGUUCAGCUCAUGGCUUCACUGGGAGUCGUUUGGAGCCACAGAAAGAGCAAAAGAAAACACAAAAACCAAGUUUUGCCUGUAGCCAGCGAGCCCCGUAUGACCAUUGUGGAGCUGGUGAAGUCGUUGCACACCAUGCAGACGGAGACCAUCCUGCAUUUAGUCAAAGAAGUAGUGAAGAAACCCCAUCAGAUCAAAGGAGAUCAGGUACCUCGAUGUUUGCACAGAACAGAAGAGCCAUGUCAAAAUGCAGCAGAACUGGCUGAACAGUCUUUAUGGACUGGAAUAUGGACGAUUGCUCAAACAUUUCCUCAUUUUUAUUCCUAAGUGGCUAUAAUGCAGCAGUUGCUGACAUGUUUCUUCUCUGUUGGGUUUUUAAUAUGUCCAGUUCUGUGAUUAGAGCUACAAAUUAUUGAUUCAAUGAGGAGCAAAGCGUGUUUAGUCUUUUUUAUGGAUGCCUAGUUCUCAUUUUCCAUUCCUUUGCUCUUCUAACCCUCAGAAGUCUACACUGGUGGAUAUCCCCAUGUUGCAGUUCAGUUAUGCGUAUAUCCAAAGCAUUCCAGCUCAAGCACUG